CUUCCUGUGGCGGAGCGUAGAGAGGUACAGAUUAAAACCAACGCCUGAGGCCUUGGCUCGGUUUGUUAGUGGAGUGAGAACACUUAAUCACCGAAGAAACCUGGAUACUAAAAACAACCUUUGCAGCUUUUUUGUCCGACGCAAGUGGGGCUGGACGCUGAACAUACCUGCGGCAUGAAGGUGUCACCACUUCAUCCACGACUUCGUCCAUGAUCGCAGAGACAUGGUCCAUGAUCGGAGAGACAUUGUUGAGGAUGAGGGAGACAUCGUCCACGAUCAGAGACGUCGUCUGUGAUCACAGAGACCUUGUCAAAGAUGAGAGAGACGUUGUCCAUGAUCAGAGACAUUGUCCCAUGCUUCGUAGAGACCUUGCGAUAGAAUCGGCGGAGACGGGGGUCACCGAUUUGACGGCACUGCCCGCGAUCAUGGAGACAUUGUCAAUGGUCAAAGAGACAGCGUCUAGGAUCUCAGAGACAUCGUCCACGAUCACAAAGACACUGUCCAUGAUCACAGAGACUUUGUCCAUAAUCUCAGAGACAUUGUCCGCGAUCACAGAGACGUAGUCCACGAUCAGAGUCUUCAUACAGUGAAGAAGUUCUUCAAGACCAGGACAGAGGCCUCCAGGUGUCACCACUUCGUCCAUGAUCGCAGAGACAUGGUCCAUGAUCGGUGAGACAUUGUUGAGGAUGAGGGAGACAUCGUCCACGAUCAGAGACGUCGUCUAUGAUCGCAGAGACCUUGUCAAAGACGAGAGAGACGUUGUCCAUGAUCAGAGACAUUGUCCCAUGCUUCGUAGAGACCUUGCGAUAGAAUCGGCGGAGACGGGGGUCACCGAUUUGACGGCACUGCCCGCGAUCAUGAAGACAUUGUCAAUGGUCAAAGAGACAGCGUCUAGGAUCUCAGAGACAUCGUCCACGAUCACAAAGACAUUGUCCAUGAUCACAGAGACUUUGUCCAUAAUCUCAGAGACAUUGUCCGCGAUCACAGAGACGUAGUCCACGAUCAGAGUCUUCAUACAGUGAAGAAGUUCUUCGAGACCAGGACAGAGGCCUCCAGGUGUCACCACUUCGUCCAUGAUCGCAGAGACAUGGUCCAUGAUCGGUGAGACAUUGUUGAGGAUGAGGGAGACAUCGUCCACGAUCAGAGACGUCGUCUAUGAUCGCAGAGACCUUGUCAAAGACGAGAGAGACGUUGUCCAUGAUCAGAGACAUUGUCCCAUGCUUCGUAGAGACCUUGCGAUAGAAUCGGCGGAGACGGGGGUCACCGAUUUGACGGCACUGCCCGCGAUCAUGAAGACAUUGUCAAUGGUCAAAGAGACAGCGUCUAGGAUCUCAGAGACAUCGUCCACGAUCACAAAGACAUUGUCCAUGAUCACAGAGACUUUGUCCAUAAUCUCAGAGACAUUGUCCGCGAUCACAGAGACGUAGUCCACGAUCAGAGUCUUCAUACAGUGAAGAAGUUCUUCGAGACCAGGACAGAGGCCUCCAGGUGUCACCACUUCGUCCAUGAUCGCAGAGACAUGGUCCAUGAUCGGAGAGACAUUGUUGAGGAUGAGGGAGACAUCGUCCACGAUCAGAGACGUCGUCUAUGAUCGCAGAGACCUUGUCAAAGACGAGAGAGACGUUGUCCAUGAUCAGAGACAUUGUCCCAUGCUUCGUAGAGACCUUGCGAUAGAAUCGGCGGAGACGGGGGUCACCGAUUUGACGGCACUGCCCGCGAUCAUGAAGACAUUGUCAAUGGUCAAAGAGACAGCGUCUAGGAUCUCAGAGACAUCGUCCACGAUCACAAAGACAUUGUCCAUGAUCACAGAGACUUUGUCCAUAAUCUCAGAGACAUUGUCCGUGAUCACAGAGACGGAGUCCACGAUCAGAGUCUUCAUACAGCAAAGAAGUUCUUCGAGACCAGGACAGAGGCCUCCAGGUGAUUCACAGCUUUUCAUCAAAUGUCCAACACAGAGCACGGACAUUAAACUGUUUAUGUUCAGUAUUCAGAUUAUCAGAAAAGUGUUAUAGUAGAAGUAAUCUGCUAUAUAAAAAAUAAUGUUUAGUAAUCUGUAUCAAUAGAAGUAAUGUUAAAGUAAUUAAGCAAUAAGUAACAUGUAAUAGUCAAAGUAAUCUGUUACUAGCUGUAGUUUGCAACAGUAAUCUGUAAAUAUAGAUGUCUUAUGUGAUAAGAAAAGUAAUAUGUAAUGGUAAAAGUAGACACACUAGACUACACUGUACAAAACAAUAUCAAGUCUACAAAUAAAAUAUUGGAGGGGGUGUUCAUUAGUGUGUUCAUUUUAAUGGUUGGUCAAAGGGUGAUUUUAAAAAUAUCUUUACAGUGUAUAACAGUUAUGUUUUCAUGGUUAAACUGUUGAUGAGGGAG